UUCCACAUUGAGGAAGAUUUUUAAAAGUUCUUGUAAAUUACUUUCUUUCGUGCGAUCCCUAGUACAUCUAUUUUGCUAUAAAAACCCUAAGUUCUGCUGGAAACUACUGAAAAAAGUAAAAUACAGCUUAGGAAUCUGCUUGGGAAAAUAGAAAACCCAGAACAAACAAACAGAUAAAAUAUUACCAUAACUUUCUUUAGGACAGCAGGAAGUUUUGUUGCCAUUAUUAUUUCUGCUACUGUUUUGACUUUCAAGAGUUGAAGAUUCAAAUGCAAAUUGGCAGUGGACUCUGUCAGUUCUGGAAGAAACUUUGGAAAAAGAAGGAGUUUCGCAUCCAUGAGAGGAGUUAGAAAGAAAGGAUGAAGCAAGAUAUGCUGAAGAAACUCUAAGCUGCAUUUCUAGCACAGAUGUCUCUCCCAAACUCCAUAUUCAAUAAUCAGGUCAGUCCUCUGCGGAGUUCCUCCUUGCCUGCAGUGGGGAGUGUCUGGACCUUUAACCAGGUGUGCUUUGUUUGUUAAAAUAAGCCUGAUAGAAAAAGAAAAACCCUGAUCCAAGAUAAGAGAAAAGGAAAAGGAACAAAAAAAAGCAAAGAAAACAGAUAAAUGGAAAACUAAGCCUGAGUCCAAAGAAAAAG